GGGGUAAACCUGAGAAACCCAAAAGAUCGAAUGGGGAGAUUCAACGUCAACGAAGCCGGCUCCCGUUGGUGCGCGAUACUCCGAUCAGGCCCUCCGUGGUUCCAAGGCGAGGGUACGCCACCUUCGGCGAACGUUCCGGCGGCGUAGUCGUGCAAUUCUCCCUUAGUAGAACGUCGCGACCCGUUGUGUGUCGGUCUACGGCUCGAGCUGUUGCCUGCCGCGGCGCCAUCGUGCGCUCGCGGCAGAGGCUCGGUCGCCCGGCCGGCUGCACGACGGUACUCUGACGGUAUCGGGCCGCAACCAAUCCAUGCUCGAAUGUGUGUGCGUCGGGCCCGCCGCAAGCUCGGACAGUUUUACCAGGAGCGUGCGGACCUAGUGCCCUCCCCGGGUCUGGCCAGCUGUUGGCAGGCGGUGUCCUUUGACUGGCCAAGCUUCGAAUUACCGGUCGGCGACGCUACUGCUUUGGGUACUCUCAGGACCCGUCUUGAAACACGGACCAAGGAGUCUAACAUGUGCGCGAGUCAUUGGGACGUGUAAACCUAAAGGCGCAAUGAAAGUGAAGGUCGACCUCAGCGUCGACCAAGGGAGGAUGGGCCGCGUACGCACCGGCCCCGCACUCCCGGGGCGUCUCGUUCUCAUCGCGAGGAGAGGCGCACCCAGAGCGUACACGUUGGGACCCGAAAGAUGGUGAACUAUGCCUGGUCAGGACGAAGUCAGGGGAAACCCUGAUGGAGGUCCGUAGCGAUUCUGACGUGCAAAUCGAUCGUCGGAACUGGGUAUAGGGGCGAAAGACUAAUCGAACCAUCUAGUAGCUGGUUCCCUCCGAAGUUUCCCUCAGGAUAGCUGGCACUCGCUCGUUCCUCCGUGAACGCGUGCGAGUUUCAUCUGGUAAAGCGAAUGAUUAGAGGCCUUGGGGCCGAAACGACCUCAACCUAUUCUCAAACUUUAAAUGGGUGAGAUCUCUGGCUUGCUUGGAUCAUGAAGCCACGAGAUUUUGAAUCAGAGUGCCAAGUGGGCCAAUUUUGGUAAGCAGAACUGGCGCUGUGGGAUGAACCAAACGCAGAGUUAAGGCGCCUAAGUCGACGCUUAUGGGAUACCAUGAAAGGCGUUGGUUGCUUAAGACAGCA
rnacentral:rRNA from 1 species